AUGUAUACAAUACAACUGUUCAGUGUAAAUGACUCCUAAAUGUGUAUUAAGGUCUGUUUAUAAGGUAAUUACUUUCUGCAAGCUUUUAUUUUGAAAGUCGCCUUUUUACAUUACGUGACUUUUAUUUUGACGGCACCUCCUGGCGGAAGAAGGAUAGUGCUACGGAGAUUUACUGAAGGAGGGAAAGCACGCAAUUGCGCUGCUUUAUGUCAUCAUAAACUGAUAAUUAAGCGCCUAGCCAGUACGGGAACAAGGUAUUGUGUGUUGAAUAUGUUUUAUGAUUAUAUGCAGUAACAUUAUGUGAUUUAGAUGAACGCACUUACAGUGUGUGUGUUUAAUUGUGUUGUCAUUCUGACGGUCUUGCUAACAUUAGCUUUUCAUGGAGAUUGCUGUAAUGCUAGCUUUCUAGCUUUUCAUGUGCAAAUGUUGGGCUUAAGGUUUGAUUGGUGUUAAUGUGUAUGGCAAAUACAGUAUAUGGAUAAGGUUUGUAAUGUUUACAUUUUUAGUAAGAGCUCAUUGUAUUUUAUUUGUCUGUCCUUUAGCUCUUACGGUGUUUUCUGAAGAAAGGUGUUUAAAGAAGAAAAGGUGAAUUUGUGUUCAAAAUAUGGCUAACGGCUGAACAUAAAUAAAAGGCUUCUGAAACAUCA